rnacentral:rRNA from 1 species
CCUACGGGGGGCAGCAGUGAGGAAUAUUGGUCAAUGGGCGCGAGCCUGAACCAGCCAAGUCGCGUGAGGGAGGACGGCCCUACGGGUUGUAAACCUCUUUUGCCGGGGAGCAACGGGCGUCACGAGUGGCGCCACUGAGAGUACCCGGAGAAAAAGCAUCGGCUAACUCCGUGCCAGGAGCCGCGGUAAUACGGAGGAUGCGAGCGUUAUCCGGAUUUAUUGGGUUUAAAGGGUGCGUAGGCGGAUCGAUAAGUCAGUGGUAAAACUGAGGGGCUCAACCCCUUCCCGCCAUUGAAACUGGCGUUCUUGAGUGGAAGAGAAGUAUGCGGAAUGCGUGGUGUAGCGGUGAAAUGCAUAGAUAUCACGCAGAACUCCGAUUGCGAAGGCAGCAUACCGGCGCCCGACUGACGCUGAGGCACGAAAGCGUGGGGAUCGAACAGGAUUAGAUACCCGGGUAGUC